rnacentral:lncRNA from 1 species
GGCUGGCAGAUUUGGAAAUUGCCUGCUGUAGUUCAGAAGAGGUUUGGCUUCCAGAGGGCAGUGUAGAGCUUUUUGCUGGAAAGGUAGCCACAAGAGGUAUGUGUGUGUUUGCCUAGGUGGAGUCUCAGUGUUACCUCCUGGGAGGGCUUGCAGCGCAGAGGGCCUGCUGUGGUGUGCUGUGGUUCAUCAGGCGGGGCGUAGGGGGCCACAGGCUUCAAGGCUGUGGUGUCUGAAAACUCUAAAUGCAGGAAGUUUGUGGAUGACCUGAUGAUCCUCAGCAGGAACUCUGUUUACCUCAUUGACACCGCCAUGUGCCAGGUGCUGCUCCAACAGGGUGUGCUGGCCAUCAAGGGAAGGUCAUGCUGCCCUGGGACCCAGCUGGUAAGACUGACUCUAGGAAGGCCCUGCCUGAGCACAUGAGUAUCGUGGAACCCAAAGAUGAAGUACUGCCCACUACCCCAUCUCAGAAUAGAAGGGUGGGGAGGAAGCCAUAGCUCCUGCCAUGCCGCAGCCAACCCCCACA